UGAUGAAUAAUAACUUUCUAAGCAUUAUAAUUCACGACUUAGUCUUUUUCACACUUCAUUAUCAAAUUAUGC